ensembl:misc_RNA Metazoa_SRP Metazoan signal recognition particle RNA
GCCAGGCGUGGUGGCGCGUGCCUGUAAUCCCAGCUACUCAGGAGGCUGAGACAGAAGAAUCACUUGAACCCAGGAGGUGGAGGUUGCAGUGAACCGAGAUUGUGCCAUUGCACUCCAGCCUGGGUGACAGAGUGGGACUCUGUCUCAA